UACGGAGGGUGCGAGCGUUGUCCGGAAUCACUGGGCGUAAAGGGCGCGUAGGCGGCCGUGUAAGUCACUUGUGAAAUCCCGGGGCUCAACCCCGGGGCUGCAGGUGAGACUGCGUGGCUAGAGCACGGUAGAGGCGAGUGGAAUUCCCGGUGCAGCGGUGGAAUGCGUAGAUAUCGGGAAGAACACCGGUGGCGAAGGCGGCUCGCUGGGCCGUUGCUGACGCUGAUGCGCGAAAGCGUGGGGAGCAAACAGG
rnacentral:rRNA from 1 species